rnacentral:misc_RNA from 1 species
UUAUAAAUCUUAUGCUCAACUAAUC